rfam:Schistosoma mansoni strain Puerto Rico chromosome W, complete genome
AUUCAGCUGACGAGUUCCAAAUAGGAAGAAACGCGUGUCAAACUGCAU